rnacentral:rRNA from 1 species
UGAGGAAUAUUGCGCAAUGGAGGAAACUCUGACGCAGCCAUGCCGCGUGCAGGAAGAAGGCGCUACGCGUUGUAAACUGCUUUUAACCGGGAAGAAACCCCAGGACGUGUCCUGGGUUGACGGUACCGGAGGAAUAAGCACCGGCUAACUUCGUGCCAGCAGCCGCGGUAAUACGAAGGGUGCAAGCGUUAUCCGGAUUCAUUGGGUUUAAAGGGUGCGUAGGCGGGGCAAUAAGUCAGUGGUGAAAUCCUGCGGCUUAACCGUAGAAUUGCCAUUGAUACUGUUGCUCUUGAGUAGGCUCGACGUGGGCGGAAUGUGCCGUGUAGCGGUGAAAUGCUUAGAUAUGGCACAGAACACCGAUAGUGAAGACAGCUCACGAGGGCCAAACUGACGCUGAGGCACGAAAGCGUGGGGAUCGAACAGGAUUAGAUACCCUGGUAGUCCACGCCGUAAACGAUGAUCACUCGUCAUUGGCGAUAUACGGUCAGUGACCUAGCGAAAGCGUUAAGUGAUCCACCUGGGGAGUACGAUCGCAAGAUUGA